UACGAAGGGGGCUAGCGUUGCUCGGAAUCACUGGGCGUAAAGGGUGCGUAGGCGGGUCUUUAAGUCAGGGGGGAAAUCCUGGAGCUCAACUCCAGAACUGCCUUUGAUACUGAAGAUCUUGAGUUCGGUAGAGGUGAGUGGAACUGCGAGUGUAGAGGUGAAAUUCGUAGAUAUUCGCAAGAACACCAGUGGCGAAGGCGGCUCACUGGCCCGAUACUGACGCUGAGGCACGAAAGCGUGGGGAGCAAACAGG
rnacentral:rRNA from 1 species